UACGUAGGGGGCAAGCGUUGUCCGGAUUUAUUGGGCGUAAAGAGCUCGUAGGCGGUUUCGUAAGUCGAGUGUGAAAAAUCUGGGCUCAACCCAGUGGAGCACUCGAUACUGCGAUGACUAGAGUACGGUAGAGGAGUGUGGAAUUCCUGGUGUAGCGGUGAAAUGCGCAGAUAUCAGGAGGAACACCAACGGCGAAGGCGGCUCACUGGCCCGGUACUGACGCUGAGGCACGAAAGCGUGGGGAGCAAACAGG
rnacentral:rRNA from 1 species